CGCUGCGCUGGGAGUGAGAGGGGGUCAGGAUUUCCCCGCUGCCGUUUGUGACCCCGGGGGAUUUCUCAGGGUUCCGAAAACAACACAGCCCUGGCCGGGAGGGAUACGGGCCGGAGGAUGCCAGAUGUUUUGAAUUCUUUGAAAUCUCUAAGCAUCUAGAAAAAAUAAUCAUGCAGUCACCCAUGUCUUUCCCACGGCUCUGGGACAUGCUUUGUGUGAAGACCCUGCUGCUGACCCUGCACAUCGGAGCUUUCCCUCAGGGGGCGCCACUCUUUCCCCGACGAACACCACAAGCGUAAUUGUGCCUGUGGAAAAUGCUCGAGGGACAGCAAAUGAACGAAGCAUUCGAAGAUGUGUUGAACCACGUUUGAAC
rnacentral:lncRNA from 1 species